GGCCGCGUUCAGGAGGAGCAGGGACGGAAGCGGCCUCCUUAUCGUAACCAACCCGGUACAGACACAAGACAGAUUUCCAGCAUCUGCAGUAUUUUGCUUUUUUUCAAGACUUUAAGAAUGGGAAGUCGCAACAGCAGAGCGGUCUCUGCCAAUCCCCCCGCUUCUCAACGUACUAAGAACAAACUGAAACCAGCGAAACUGGAGCUUAAAUUAGGAACUUUGAAGAUGGGUAUUCCAGAAUCCAGUGCAGAUUACAAACUUGAUCUAGAGUCAUGUUCAACAGCUGGUAUAUUACAAUUGCUGCUCUGCCUAUCAGAACCACCCUACUUCUGUUGAGGGCUCAACGCAGGCGCAGGGACCAUGAGAAGAGAAUCAGGAAACAUGUCUGCAUUCAACUUGGAAUUAGCGACAUGUGCCACACAUUGCAGAAUGCUGCAAGGACCUGCAUUUGCCAGGCAACUGAAGCAAUUUUUCAUCAGGCUUCAGUUUUUAUUAAUUUUGACAUGUCCCCUUUCAGGAUGAAGGAGUGGUCCCUUGCAUUCCACAAGAUUGCUGGUUUCCCAAAGUUAUUGGGGCUAUCGAUGGGACACAUAUUCUGUUGAAGAUGCCAGUAGAUGAGGCUGUUUCAUUCAUCAGCAGGAAGGGGUUCCAUUCGCUGAAUGUGAUGAUAGUGUGUGAUGCCCAAAUGAAGAUCCUCAAUGUGCAUGCAAACAAUCGGGAAGUGCCCAUGACACAUUUGACCCGGCGAACUCAAUGUUGCACCAGACCAUGACAGCAUCACCAGGAAUUAGAGGAUGGCAACUGGGUGAUAAGGGAUGGCUUAUAACACCACUUCGGAGGAUCACCAAUGAAGCACAGGAGCGAUAUGAUCGUGCACAUGUAGCAAUGCAUCAGGUGGCGAAAAGGACAAUUGGAAUUCUAAAGGCACGUUUUUGAUGUCUGGACAGGUCAGGGAGCAGGUUCCAGUAUGCACCUGCAAUAGUCUCAAAGAUAUAGUACGUUGUAGUAUGUUGUGCAUUGCACAACUUUGCCCUCCAGCAAGGACUGAACCUUCACCCUGAAGUUGACUUGGCGCCAGAAAUGGCGGAGCUAGAGGAGGGCAAUGUGGAGCCUGAUGCACACAUGCCUCCUGGAGCAUGUGAGAAGGCCCAGGCUCCAGCUGCAGCCAGGGCAGCUCGAGAUCGCCUGGUCACUUCUCCUUUUGGACAUUGAACUUUGAAAAUUCACCAUGUGUCCCUCCCUCCCUUCCUCCUUCCCUCCCUCCUUCCAUUCCAAAAUAAGACAAGAGAACUGUUGUGGUAAAGUUUUAAAAAAGGUUUCAUUUUAUUUGUGCAAAUGUAGGAAUGUGAGGUAGUUAUUAUUCAAAAUGUUGUAGUGCAGCUGCUUAAGUUAAAGGUUACACUGUUGUCAAAAAUGUAA